AACACAGGCCCGCAUUCAUCCCAAACCAGUCGACCGCGCGCCAUGGCUUUCUCCUCAAGAACCUUGGCCGUGUUCCUGUUCGUGAUCCUGGCCUCGCUCGCGUUCCUCGCGCAGGACGUGCUCGCCGCCAGAGCCCUAGCUGAAGACAGCGGCGGUGAUUCGUACAAUAACCACAAGGAUGGUCCGCCGAACACUCCAGAUGGUGGUUAUGGCGGCGGCGGUUAUUAUCCUCCCGGGCGCCGUUAGGCGCGCGCUGGACGACGGUCACCAUGCAUGCUCCAAGUAUAUAUAUAUAGUGAUCCAGAAUCCGCGCGCCGUGCGCGCACAACCCUAUAUAUCUUUCUGUAAAUUUCCCGUUUUCGAAUAAAGGCCACGGAGCUAGGUGCCUGUAGUUGUGCACGCUUGCCGUGUGCGUGGUCAGAGUCGCGUCAACCAAGUUGUUCAGUCUUGAGUCUGGAGUCUUCAAUCGCUGUGCCUGUGCGAGCUGUAACGCGAUGUUGGACGUUUAGUUCGGCCAUUGCCUUGUUGCCUCGAAUGAAAAAUGGGAGGAGGAGGAUAUAUGAAUAGUUCACGUUGAACGA